GUAAAUAAUAAAUAAAGGUAGGUAAUUCAAUAAUAAUUAUUAUUAAUUUAUGAUGGCUACCAAAUGUUUUAUGAAAAAAAAAGUAAACGUUAAUAGAGUAUAUUAUUGUCAAAUGAUUGUGAUCGAAAGUAUUAAGGUAUUUGAUAUAGACUGAUUCCUAUGGACGUAAAAAAACCAACGACGAGGAUACGAGAUUGCUUUUCUAUACAAUAAUAAUACAGAAUGUCAGAAUCUGAGUAUAGAAAGUUUUUGCCCAAUUAAAUACUGUUUUUGAUGGCUAAAAAUAACUGAGCAACGAUAAAGUAAAUAAUAUUUAUAUAAUAUGUAGGUAAUGUAUGUUUUUAGGGGACGUAAUGCUAACAUAGGGGAUGUAAUGCUAACGCAGUCUCCCCUCCGGUUCUCAAUACCAUGGGGAAAAAAAAAAAGGCAUUGGUUCCAUUGUUUUGAAGUACCUAUAAGAACACAGAAGUCAUCUUUGAAUAAGAAAAAUCAAUGGUUCACCUACCAUCAUAAAUUCAUACCAUACAAAAAUUGAAGCAGUUAAAUGUGAAGUUAAGGAACAGAUCAAAAUACAGAAUAUUAUUCAAGGAUUUCCAUUUCUAAACUAUGGAGAAUCAGUAGCACUCAGAGUUAACUAAAUAUUAUAAAUAUUGAUUAUUAUCAUUAUUAUUCUAAAUGUAUUAAUGUUUGUAUGUAUUGUCAAUUUAUGUGACACAUAAAUUGACUAUGCAUACGGGCAUAAAAAUGUUCAUUAAAUUGUAAAUUGUAUAUAACUCUAGACCUAAGCUAACUAAGGUCUAUGUCACAACCAGUGGCGGACUGAACUUUAAUUUUAAAUGAUGCAUUUUCAUAAUUAAGUACUUACCACCACCACCACCACCCUAUUUUUACUUAUAACAAAGUUAUGAUGUAAAUAAAAUGUUAUCAAAAGAGCCAAGAGGUCAGGCUGUAGCAUGUAAUUCUGCGCCACAGUCAUGGAGUGGCACCACCCCCUUUGAAAAGUUGUCGCAACUGCAUCAAAAUUGAGCGCUUCAGCUCGCAACUGGUCACAACCCAAGUUUAUUUUUUAUUCCAAAUUAUGGUAAAAGUUUAUUUUUCUAAAGAGAUUUUAUAAUCGUAAAAACUCCAUAGUCUUGGAUUUGUGUUUUAUUCCACAGUGUAUUUAUACCUAAAAUGUUUUUAUAUUAAAGAAAUAAUUUAUGAUUAUUAUUU
rnacentral:lncRNA from 1 species